GCCUACGGGGCGCAGCAGUGGGGAAUAUUGCACAGUGGGGGAAACCCUGAUGCAGCGACGCCGCGUGAGCGAAGAAGUAUUUCGGUAUGUAAAGCUCUAUCAGCAGGGAAGAAAAAAAUGACGGUACCUGAGUAAGAAGCACCGGCUAAAUACGUGCCAGCAGCCGCGGUAAUACGUAUGGUGCAAGCGUUAUCCGGAUUUACUGGGUGUAAAGGGAGCGUAGACGGCAAGACAAGCCUGGAGUGAAAGGCGGGGGCCCAACCCCCGGACUGCUCUGGGAACUGUCUGGCUGGAGUGCAGGAGGG
rnacentral:rRNA from 1 species